rnacentral:rRNA from 1 species
UAGGGAAUCUUCGGCAAUGGACGAAAGUCUGACCGAGCAACGCCGCGUGAGUGAAGAAGGUUUUCGGAUCGUAAAACUCUGUUGUUAGAGAAGAACGUUGCAUAGAGUGGAAAAUUAUGCAAGUGACGGUAUCUAACCAGAAAGGGACGGCUAACUACGUGCCAGCAGCCGCGGUAAUACGUAGGUCCCGAGCGUUGUCCGGAUUUAUUGGGCGUAAAGCGAGCGCAGGUGGUUUAAUAAGUCUGAUGUAAAAGGCAGUGGCUCAACCAUUGUGUGCAUUGGAAACUGUUAGACUUGAGUGCAGUAGAGGAGAGUGGAAUUCCAUGUGUAGCGGUGAAAUGCGUAGAUAUAUGGAGGAACACCGGUGGCGAAAGCGGCUCUCUGGACUGUCACUGACACUGAGGCUCGAAAGCGUGGGUAGCAAACAGGAUUAGAUACCCUGGUAGUCCACGCCGUAAACGAUGAGUGCUAGUUGUUUGGGGCUAUCCAGCCCUA